UACAGAGGGUGCGAGCGUUGUCCGGAAUUACUGGGCGUAAAGGGCGCGUAGGCGGCUUGGUAAGUCGGGGGUGAAAGUCAGCGGCUCAACCGCUGGACUGCCUUCGAGACUGCCUGGCUUGAGCAUGGUAGAGGCUGGCGGAAUUCCCGGUGUAGCGGUGGAAUGCGUAGAGAUCGGGAAGAACAUCGGUGGCGAAGGCGGCCAGCUGGGCCAUUGCUGACGCUGAUGCGCGAUAGCGUGGGGAGCAAACAGG
rnacentral:rRNA from 1 species